rnacentral:rRNA from 1 species
UACAGAGGAGCCAAGCGUUGUCCGGAUUGACUGGGCGUAAAGCGCACGCAGGCGGACGCGCGCGUGGGGUGUGAAAUCUGGCCGCUUAACGGCCAGGCGCCAUCCCAUACGGCGCGUCUGGAGUGAUGCAGAGGUCGAUGGAAUUGCCGGUGUAGUGGUGAAAUGCGUAGAGAUCGGCAGGAACACCCAGGGGGAAACCAGUCGAACUGGGCAUCUACUGACGCUGAGGUGCGAGAGCGUGGGGAGCGAACCGG